UGGAGGAGGCCAAGGGUUGGAUGUACCCUGGCCAGCAGCCCAGGAAGCCUGAGCAUAUAAUUAAAAGAUUGUAUCUUCUUGGGUCUGUCUUUUGGGACAAGAGCUCUCAGUGUUGUCCUCACCCUGUGACCUCCGUCUGGGCACUACGUCCACUGCUGCCUGGCUCGGUUCUGUCCCUUCGGGCAGGGUUGGCAGCUCAGUUUCACCUGGUUCUGAGCACGGAAAGGACAGACUCCCUUUCUGCCCUUCAGGCCUCCUAAUAGCCACCCCACAGGGGAAUGGGUACUCCUCCCUCUCACGUGCCUCCUGGCUGUGUGUCCAUCCUGGAGGGGGCUGUCCCCAGUUCACAGAGAGGCCACCCAGCUAUAAGACCAUGAGACGUCAAGCCAUCACGGUCUCGGCAGCUCCACACCAUCCGAAGGGCACCGGCCUCACCAGCCAGAAGGAAGGAAGGCAGGCAAGUGUGCUCAGCGGGGAACAGAGACCAGCUUCAGGGGACACUAAGGGGAGGGAGGAGAGGGCAGGACAGAGAGGGAAAGUCAAGGGCUAGGAGCCUGGCGUGCCUGGGCAGUGGGGAGAGUGUCUAAGGGGAUGAGCCAAUGGGCUGGCCACGUGGCCCUGACUGUCUUUCCUCUGCUUUGUGGCUGGUCAGGAGUUGGGGUUGAGCAUGUGCUUUCUGGGUCUGGUGGGCCAGCAAUAGCAGGCCCAGUGGGAGGCCGCGGUGGGCUGCGCGGAUCCUGCAGGCGGCACACAUGGCCCACGGUGCUCCCGACACAGUGCUGGAAUGCGGUUCCUGCCUGCCUAAGAGCUGUGCCAGCCCCUUGGUGGGUGUUAGGAAACCUCUUACCUUGCUGGGAGGUCGGGAAGGGCCGAGAGGGCAUAUGCUUCAAGGAUGUAGGAGCCAGACGGGAAAGGAAGGGAAAGGCAUGGCCAGGGGUGGGAAGAGUGUGGAGUGAAGCAGGUGACAGAGCAGAGCCUUUUCAGGGAGUUGUGAGUAUUCCGGGUAGAUGGAGGAGAGGGCAAGCGAGAGGAAAGACGUAGAGGACAGAUCACGUCCUGGCUGCCUGACCUUGGAGGCCCUGAACGCCAGGCUGCAGAGCAAUGCCUUCGUGCCAGGGCAAUGGGCAGACUCUGAAAGAUGCUAGGCAGGAGUGCUACGUGGCCACGCUUGCCUUUGAAAAGUCCCACUCUGGCUACAAGAGUGGCGUGGGGAGAGCUGUUAGGAGGUGCCAGGUGGAGCACGGUAUCCACACACUUUGUGGAAGAAUUCUCUGAUGAGUGCCCUGAGCAACUGGGACCAGUGGUGCAGAAGCCCCGGCCUGGGUGAGAAGGGUCAUCCUCCCCUCAGCUGGAGCAGCGCCCAGCUGGCUGGAGACUUGAGCAGGCGUGAAGAGAAACAGAUGUGGCGGGUGCAAGUGCGGUUGGGGCGGCUGUCAUCCAUGCGGAGGUAAAUAUCGUCCAUGCCCAGGAGCCAGUGCCCUCCUCCAGACCCGCCCUUUCCAGUAGGCUCCAGCUCUGCCAACUGGCUCCUCAUGGAGAUGUAAACAACCAAACUAGAUCAGCUGGCCUUCCCAGGAAGGUACCCGAAGGCUUGGGCUUCAUCAACGGAAUGGAUUCUAAUGGUAGAAUGUCAAGCACCCUGGAGGGCAGAAAGCAGCGACUGUACAGGGCACAAAUAACACUGUGAAAGGACCAGGAUGCAGUGGGUGAUGGACUAAGCAAUGGCCUGUGAUGCUCCCUCCAGAAGAAGUGGGAGGAAACAACAUUUAUGGAGCAUCUUUUGUAUGUACCAGUGUGCAUGUGACCAUUUGGUGCGAUGAAAGUGUAAAAGGUCAAAUUGUUCCUGACUUGAGCUGACAGCUCCAGUUCUGGCAAUGAUUCCUCGCGGUUCUUGCUUUCCAGACCCUCGCUAUUCUGGACAUUUUCUGGUUUGUCAAAUUUGCUCUCAAAAACUCUUUCAGAAGACUGAUGAACUGUCCCACAUUGAAGGAGACUAAGG
ensembl:lncRNA